AGCGAACGCUGGCGGCAGGCCUAACACAUGCAAGUCGAACGAAGUCUUCGGACUUAGUGGCGGACGGGUGAGUAACACGUGGGAACGUGCCCUUUGGUACGGAAUAACUCAGGGAAACUUGAGCUAAUAACGUAUGUGCCCUUCGGGGGAAAGAUUUAUCGCCAUGGGAGCGGCCCGCGUCUGAUUAGCUAGUUGGUGAGGUAAAGGCUCACCAAGGCGACGAUCAGUAGCUGGUCUGAGAGGAUGAUCAGCCACAUUGGGACUGAGACCCGGCCCAAACUCCUACGGGAGGCAGCAGUGGGGAAUCUUGCGCAAUGGGCGAAAGCCUGACGCAGCCAUGCCGCGUGAAUGAUGAAGGUCUUAGGAUUGUAAAAUUCUUUCACCGGGGACGAUAAUGACGGUACCCGGAGAAGAAGCCCCGGCUAACUUCGUGCCAGCCGCCGCAGUAAUAC
rnacentral:rRNA from 1 species